AGUUGAUUGUGUAUGACAAAAUGUCAUAAAUGCCUGAUUAGGGUGUUACAAGGGCAUGACUGGGGUGUUAGAACAGUUAGAUGGAGACAUAAUAAAUGAAGGUGUGAUAGAUACAAUAGAACAAUUAUUACAAAGAUAUGAUGUCUGUAUGUAUUAUAUAGUUGAUUGUGUAUGACUAGGAUGUCACAACUGCCAGACUAGGGUGUUUCAAGGGCAAGACUGGGGUGUUAGAUGAAGACAUUAUCAAUGAAGGUGUGAUAGAUACAAUAGAACAAUUAUUACAAAGAUAUGAUGUCUGUAUGUAUUGUUUAGUUGAUUGUGUAUGACUAGACUGUCACAAAUGCCUGACUAGGGUGUUACAAGGGCAUGAUAUGGGUGUUAGAUAGGACAUUAUAUAUAAAGGUGUGAUAGAUACAAUAGAGCAUUUAUUAUAAAGAUAUGAUGUCUGUACGUAUUAUAAAGUUGAUUGUGUAUGACUAGGAUGUCACAAAUGCCAGACUAGGGUGUUACAAGGGCUUGACUGGGGUGUUAGAUGAAGAAAUUAAAAAUGAAGGUGUGAUAGAUACAAUAGAACAAUUAUUACAAAGAUAUGAUGUCUGUACGUAUUAUAUAGUUGAUUGUGUAUGACUA
rnacentral:lncRNA from 1 species